GUCGGCUGAUGGUUCCGUAACACAUCAGCAGUCACCUGAGUCAGAACCGUGAGCUGAUGAUGGGCCUUCCGUUUGGUCUGCACAGUGUUUUGUUUUCUUCAGGUGUUGUCAUCUUCUCCCACACUAAAACGCUCUCAUCUCCUAGACAUGAAUGUUUAAUUGCACCCCAGCAUGACAUUUGACCUGUGCUUAGCAGGCGGUUUUGAGGCCCUGGCUUAUUAAUGCACGGAAGCACAGCACAUAAGCCGACACUUAUGUCCUAAUUAGCAAGAAUCCGGCUGUAUCUCUGUAGUCCCUGCAUCUACUCUGGUCACCAUCUCUGUAUGCUGAGGGCAGCCAUGUGAACAUUAUUAAUUAUUGUACACUCCAAUCAAUAGUUAUUAUGUAGGCAGAAGUAGUGGCCUUGUUUGUUUCUUGUGCUGCUGCUCCCCUUGCCGCUGUCCCCUACACCCUCCUGAUCAGGUGUACAUCCAUGGUGCCUCAUGGUUCAGUCACUGAUGAGUAAUGAAAAUGGGAAGAAAGAGUUUGAUAUUAGCCACUAUCGAAGCAUAUGAAGAAGCAUCUCAGCUGCUUGCAUUGAAAAAUUCCUAGCCAGUGUGUGGGCUUUUCUUAUCACUGCUGCUUAUCAGCAUGUCAAAAGUUGAAUCUUCGGACUGCAAGUCUUGCUGGCCUUAGACAUAAUGGCCUUACUGCAUGUGGAGCUAACCCCAGGAAGAUGGAGUGACAGUCUCUGGAGGAUUAGGUGGUCUCCUCCAAUGUGGCUUGAUGGGCUCCUGAACUCUUUCCUGUAACUAUACAGAGAGUCUACACUGCCAGCGAUCGUGUGCCUCAACUCUGUAGAUGUAGAAAUUAAAAAUAUUCAAAAUAUUCUGAAACAGUUUCCAUUGAAAGGAAAGAGAAAAGCAGUCAGGUGCCACGCUCUGGUCAAGAGAACUAGUAGAUGGCUCACAAGAACACUCUGUCGCUACUGUCUGUGCCUCUGUCACAACAAAUAUCCUGAUCCUUCAGUUUGAAGGGUGCAGGGCCAUUUUCCUCCCUUUCCUACUGGUAGUUCUCAAGAUAACUGUAUGAUAUGCUGGGAAUGCAAUAUCCUGAUAAUCAGGUGACAUUGGUCAGAACAGCCCAGGCUCUGUUAGAGUCCCUGCUCGAAACAGAACGGCCUUUAACGCUUGUGUCCAGCAAACCACAUCGUAGGAGAAAACCCAAGAUGAGCUGCUUUCUGGGGUCCCUCAGUUGUAGUGCAAGUGAAGCAUUUACAGUCAAAACUCCAUCCAUCUGCUCUGGAUAGCCUUCCUGAUCUUGUGGUAGCGGUUCAUAUUGAAUCCUGGACUUCUGUUGUCUUUUGUUUGCUAUUUGUAAGUAAUAAAUUCACUUCAUGGAAUUUAUGUAUGAAUGUGUUUGGUCUCAUUGUACUCAGAAAAGUUGGUAGCCAUUGCACAGUGAACCCGCUUCAUAAUUGGUGAAAACACCUAUGGCCCCCUUGUGCCACAGCAAGGAGGUUAAUUCAGCCAAACAUAAACUUCAUGUUCGAAAAACCCUGUAGCACAAUUAUUACCAUGUGGGAGGCCUUUAACAAUGGUGAUGCUGAUUUGAAGAACUCUGAAAGAAGAAAUUUACACAAAUGGAUUGGGUACACAGGAGUCCCUCCUAACUUAAAGCAAACCUUGCUCCCCUCUGCCUAAAAAGAGUGGAGAGGCCAAGCACGGUGGCUCAGGCCUGUAAUCCGAGUACUCUGGGAGGCUGAGGGGGGCAGAUCACAAGGUCAGGGGUUCAAGACCAGCCUGACCAACAUGGGGAAGCCACAUCUCUAUUAAAAAUACAAAAAGUAGCCACGCAUGGUGGUGGGCACCUGUAAUCCCAGUCACUUGGGAGGCUGAUGCAGGAGAAUUGCUGGAACUUGGGAGGCGGAGGUUGAAGUGAGUCAAGACCAUGCACUGCACUCCAGUCUGGGUGAGAGGGCAAGACUCCGUCUCAGG
rnacentral:lncRNA from 1 species